rnacentral:rRNA from 1 species
CCUACGGGAGGCAGCAGUGGGGAAUAUUGCGCAAUGGGGGAAACCCUGACGCAGCAACGCCGCGUGAGUGAUGAAGGUCUUCGGAUUGUAAAGCUCUGUCUUUGGGGACGAUGAUGACGGUACCCAAGGAGGAAGCCACGGCUAACUACGUGCCAGCAGCCGCGGUAA